GAAGGAGUCCAUUGAGAUGUAGCACUGUGAUUGGGCUUUAGACGUCUGGGGUAAAGGAACCACAGUUACUGUUGAACCAGUUGAUUCCCCUCAGACUCCGUCCCUCUUCGUUCUCAGUCCUCUGUCGACUCCCGACUUCCCUCUGAAGUCAGCAGACGACCUCGGUCCAAACGUCUGUCUGGUCACAAAUUUCCGUCCAAAGGGGGGAGACGUGGUUCUGAAUGGAAAAGGGGGUCCGGACAACGUGAACACUGAUAAAGCUGUUCUGUCAAAGAACAACACCUACAACUUUGCUGCAUUCAGCAACGAAACCAUCUACUCCUGUGGGAUGAACGGGACCUUCGCCAACAAUGAAGCUGAUGAUGAAUGUGGCAGCAUUUAUCCAGAAAAAGCCAAGCUGAACUUCUACCUGCUGCUGAUGAACGGAGUCCGAGUGGUGUUCACCAAAGCUCUGGCCUUCAGCACCGUCCUCACCAUCAGAGGCCUGCUCUUCUGAAACUCACCAUGAUUAAAAAAUAAAUAAAUAAAUCUGAGUUUUUAUUGAACUAUUUUAAUAAAAAGAGAAUAAUAUCAAUUCUUAAAUAUUUGCUUUGCUUUAUUUUUAAGUAUGAGAAAAUAAACAUUGUGAAGUGCACAAAUUUUAUCAUUUUGUAGAAAAGAUAAAUACGUGUGUCAUUAAUUCUCUAUUAAUUGAAAAAUAAGAUUGUAAAACGUGAAUUUGGCAUCAACUUCCAUCUCUUUUGGUCACUGUAAAAUGUCUUAUAUUUCAAAUUUUGAAAAUAGUUUGUACAUAUUUUUGCAAUAUUGCUGUAGAUUAAAAUUUUAGAUGAAUGGUAGUGACAUUUUUUGUUGUUGUUUGUUUUGCUUUAUAGUUUGGUAAUUGAGGUGUUACAGCAAAACAUUUCAUUAGCUUCUUCAUUUCUGUGUUUGAGACCUGAACUGAUAUUAUUCUCAGUACAUAUUCCAGUGAACAAUAU